rnacentral:rRNA from 1 species
AUGAGCGACAGAUCGCCGUGCACCCUUCUGGUGCCCUUGGACAAGAGUUGCCUCUCCACAGCCGAGGGGAUCCAGGCUGACCUCGAGGGGAGCGACGUCGGCGCCAAGGUCGACGCCCUGAAGCGCGCCAUCAUGCUCCUCCUCAAUGGCUACACGGUCCCCAACCUCCUCGUCACCGUCGUCCGCUACGUCCUCCAAUCCAAGGAACACAUCAUCCAAAGGCUCCUCCUUCUCUACCUCGAGGUCGUCCACAAACGGGACAAAGUCUCCGGCAAGAUCAUCCCAGAGAUGAUCCUCAUCUCCCACAACCUACGCAACAACCUCCACCACCCCAAUGAGUACAUCCGCGGCGUGACACUGCGGUUCCUCCGUCGGCUGCGCGAGCCCGAGCUGCUUGAGCCGCUUAUGCCCUCUAUUCUUGCCAACCUCAACCACCCGCACCCUUUCGUCCGCCGACACGUGUUCUCUGCCAUCUCAGCGAUCUACCGUCGGCGUUAUGGCCGGCGGCUCAUCCCAGAUGCUCCUUCUGUUGUGGAGCGUGCUCUCGCCAUGGAACAUGACCCAACAGCACGGAGGAACGCAUUCCUCAUGCUCUGCGACUGCUCGCAGGUUCUGGCCACCAGUUACUUGCUCGCCAAUGCUGACCGCUUCGCCAAGUGGCCUGCCCCCCUCCAGAUGGUCGCCCUCGGUUUCGUUCGCAAAGUCCAUCGCAACCUCUGUUACAAGCCCUACAACCGUUGCAUCCGCGUUCUCAGGAAAAGGUUGCUUUGUAGGACUGGUAAUAAUGCAAGGAAAGUUCAGUUGCUGUCAUCCUGUCAGAGCUUCACAAAGAUGCUUGCGGAGAAGCAAUUCAGGAAGAAUGAGAAGAUGAGGGUUGAGUCACAGAAUUCCCAUGCAUAUCCUGAUGAUUCCGUUGAUUUCGACCACCUGAAGAGCAGGAGGGGAAUGUGCCAACUUGAGUUGGAAGAUGAGGUCCGAGAUUAUUUAAAGGCUGCAACGGGUGAAUUUAUGAAGGAUGCAGGUUGUGCAAACAAAUUGAACCCCCCUGUUCAGUUGACAGGGUUCAGUGAUCCUGUGUAUGCUGAAGGAUUUGUUACUGUUAAUCAAUAUUAUGAUACUGUACUUGAUAUUACAGUCAUAAACCGGACAAAAGAGACAAUGCGGAACCUGUAUUUGGAGUUUGCAACAUCGUGUAAAACCACAGUAGUUGAGCGCUCCCGGAACUACACCGUUGCUCCUCAGGCAGUCAAGAAAAUCCAGGCUAACAUUAAGCUUUCUUCAACAAACCUUGGAAUUAUAAUUAGUCGCAUCGUUUAUGAGACUUCAGAUGCAAUGGAGUCUUCAGAGGUGAUCCUAAAAGAUAUGUUCAUUAACAUUGCAGAUUAUAUGACACCUGCUACAUGUACUGAUGUAGCUUUCCGCAAUAUGUGGGCUGAAUGUUGUUGCAAAGUUAAGUUGAAGGUCAAUACUGUGCUUCAUGAUGAGAAGGAAUUUGUAUAUUUUAUAAUCAAGUCAACAAACAUGACGUGUCUAACACCAAUGUCUGUGCUUGAUGGGGACUGUGGAUUAGUUGCUGCCAAUCUCUACGCGAAGAGUGUGUUUGGUGAGGAUGCUUUGGUGAACAUCAGCGUCGAGAAGCAGGCCAACUGUAAACUCAGUGGCUGCAUCACUAUACGUGGUAAUGUCCAAGGACUGGUUCUUAAUUUGGCGCAUGCAGUUAUCGUUACACAGCAGGCUACAGUUGACGCAGCCAUGAGCUUGUCAGAAGUGUGUCACAAGUAUUGUGGUUAA